UGAAAUAUUGAGUUUGACUGAGGUGAUGAGACUUCCAGGGACAGCAAGACCAGCAGUGUGGCAGCUCUGAGAGAUUCCUGCUCAUGCCAGGGACUGAAGACACAAACUCCUUCAGGAAAUAAAAGAUGGAAGCACAUGUGUGCGAAUAUGCCUGUUUCCAUGGCUACUUUGUGGCAUUGUUUAUGACAACAAGACUGGAAAUGAUCCUCAUGAGCAUCAGCAAGGUACUGCUCAACACAUGGUAUUUGGUGACCUACAUUGCAUCAUUCACUGAGAUGAG